CCGAAAUCCCUAUCGGUGAGACCGAUUUGCCUAGGGUUUGUGGCAGUGGCUAUGACAUUUGAAUUCGGUGGUGCUGGAUAGAAAGAAUCGGUGGGGCCGAGUUUGACUUUGGGUUUAGGUCAUAUGUGGAUGUGGGAAGGUAGUUGAGGGUUUUGGAGCAUAUCACUAAGCACUAUGAAGCAACAAUCUCAUUAAAUAACACCUCAUCCCUCCUUUACAGUAUUAGCUUUUCCUAUAGACACAAUGUGAUCUUGGAUCACUAAAAUAUAAAAUGUAGAGUCUUGAGCUUUGAGCUUGAGCCAAUCUUUUUGUCCUUAUUAUUUUGAGGGGUCCACAUUCCUCAUCCAUGCCAUGCCAUUCAUUGAGCUUUUCCUGAAAUAUUAAUCUUGGAAUAGCAUUAGCUCAAUGAGCUAUAUGUUGUUAGGAAUUACCAAAGCCACCUAGGGAUAGUUGCACUUUCAAACACCAACGGCGAAAGCACUCUGUUGGGCCGACACUGACACUGAGAGACGAAAGCUAGGGGAGCAUAUAGGAUUAGAGACCCCAGUAGUCCUAGCUGUAAACGAUGGAUACUAGCUUCUGUGCGACUCGACCGGUGCAAUGCUGUAGCUAACGCGUCAAGUAUCCCGCCCUGGGGAGUAUGUCCGCAAGAAUGAAACUCAAAGGAAUUGAUGGGGGGCCGCACAAGCGGUGGAGCAUUUGGUUUAAUUCGAUGCAAAGCGAAGAACCUUACCAGGGCUUGACAUGCCGCGAAUCCUCUUGAAAGAGAGGGGUGCCCUCGGGAACGCGGACACAGGUGGUGCAUGGCCCACGUAUCACUUAGAUGACUUGAGGGAUGUCUAUUUAAGUGGGAGUUCAUUAGUAAUUUGAUUAAUUGAACUUAAUUUAUCAUGAACUUAGUCUUGAUAGUUUUGCAUAUCUAUGUUGUAGAUCAAUAGCUCGUGAUAUAGCUCCUAUUUAUUUUUGAUAUGUUCCUAG
rnacentral:ncRNA from 1 species